GGGCCCCUAGCUCAGUUGGUUAGAGCACACGACUCAUAAUCGUUAGGUCCCCGGUUCGAGCCCGGGGGGGCCCACCA
rnacentral:tRNA from 2 species